UACGGAGGUGGCAAGCGUUGCUCGGAAUCACUGGGCGUAAAGGGCGCGUAGGCGGGGAGGUAAGUCGGGUGUGAAAUCCCUCGGCCCAACUGAGGAACUGCGCCCGAGACUGCUUCUCUUGAGUCCCGGAGAGGAAGAUGGAAUUCCCGGUGUAGCGGUGAAAUGUGUAGAGAUCGGGAGGAACACCGGUGGCGAAGGCGGGUCUCUGGGCCGAUAUUGACGCUGAGGAGCGAAAGCGUGGGGAGCGAACAGG
rnacentral:rRNA from 1 species